rnacentral:misc_RNA from 1 species
GAGCGGAAGUGCUCACACACACAACUCAGAAGCAGCCGAAACGGACGUGCACACGCGCAGAGACGCAUGGCGCAUGGUGUUGAGGACGUGUUCUUCAUCGCCUCCUCGUCCUCCUGUGACGAGGAGGAUGACUGUCGGGGAUGCCCAUACGGCACAGCCCCUGUCUCGCCAACGAUGGAGGACGUCCUUUUCGGGCUUGCGCCACCAAAGCUGCGCUCGACACCGCAGUCGCAGAUGCAACAGCAGCAGCACUUCCUGCCAUCCCCGCUCACCAAUGGCGUCAGUGACGGAACCUUCGUGAAGACAGAGGAUGCGGCCGGGUCAGAGAUGAAGGAGUCCGUCGCUGCACAGUGCAGCGUGCCUGGGGGGAAGCCUGAUGCAGAUAAGGACGAACAGGCGGUCCUUUACGCCGGUGGCUCCCCGUGUGCAAUGCCAGCGGCGCAGUCAACGCCGCCGCCGCGCACCCUGGCUGAGCUGCGCAGUAUGACCUCCUCGGACGUGCGAGAGGAGCUGGAGCGCUUCUUUGUGCGCAAAGAAGCUCAUGCGAAACACUUCAAGUCCGUCGCCGCCGCGCUGCUUGGCGGAGCCGCCGCCGCACACAAAGCCGGUACAGCAAAGGCGUCAUCUGCGGCAGUGGCAGGCGCGACUCCUGAGGAACGAUGCACCUCCUCCACUUCACGGCUAACGAGAGAAGAGCUGCUAGCGCGUGACCGGUGCCGGCGACUCGUUAAUGUGAGCAACUGGGACGCUGCAGUCGGCGGCUACAACCAGUGGGAUGUGCUGCUGCCCUCGGCGUUGCUGCACGGCUGCGUCAUGGCCCCUACCGAUGCCACAGCAGGACAGGCUGCACCUGCGACGGCGGCGUCUUCGGAACGGCAAACCGCGUCCACCACCGUCGCAACUUCGCGUGCUCGUCUCACGCUGCGUCCACAUCAAGUUGAAGGCAUUCGAUUUCUGUGGAGUGUGCUGGCGGAGGGGCCGGUGGGACAGGUGCCCGCCGUGGGGUGCAUUCUCGCACACACGAUGGGCCUCGGAAAAACAGCACAAGUGAUCGUGUUCCUACAUCUCUUUAUGGCCGCCUUCCCGCGGCGUCAAGAAAAGGCCGCAUCGUCGUCGUUGCUGCGCCGAGCACGCGCGCUUAUCGUGAUCCCCAAGUCGACCCAGUCAGGUUGGAAGCGUGAGUUUCGCACGUGGUCCGCCUGCUUUCCGGAGGAGCACCGCUUGCGCCCCAUCUCCCUCGACGAAGGGCUGCCCGCGCGCCAGCGAGUCGACAUGUUUUACGCGUGGCGCCGCGACGGUGGCGUGUUGCUGAUCGGCUACGAAGCCCUCGUGCGUCUGCUGCGGCUUGUGGAGGAGGACAGUAUGCUGCGGCCUCACUCGCGUGUGGCCGACAACGCCGCAGGUGUCGAGGGAGAUGCCGGGAGAAACGGUACCGCUCAGCCAACAGUGCACGCUUUCCAUUCGGCAAGCCACGCAACGACGGCGUCGCCGCAGCAGCGCCGCAACGAGCUGCAAGCACGCCGCAACGACGAAGGCGGCAUGACCUUCGGCGGCGACGCUGACCCCUUCACCGAGCUCGUCGUGUGCGAUGAGGCCCACCGGCUCAAGUCCGUACAUCUGCACGUCGUCACGGCCCUCCGCCGUCUCCACCCGCUGCGCCGCCUCCUCCUCACCGGCACGCCGCUUCAGAACCACCUGCAGGAGUACUGGGCCAUGAUGGACUUCUGCGUCCACAAGUACUUCAGCCGCAAGCGCUUCCAGGAGUACUUCAUUCAGCCCAUCGAGGCCUCGGCGAACACGCGCGCCUCGGAGAAGGAGGUGGACUUGGCGCGCAAGAAGACCUUCACACUGAUCAACGAGGUGCGCCACUUUGUGCAGCGCGUCGACAGCACCCCUUUACGCACGGAGCUGCCACCGCUGCACGAGUACGUCGUUGUCGUGCCCCUGUCGCCUCUGCAGAAGGAGCUGUAUCUGCGCUUCAUCCAGAUGGUGCAGCGCGACGGGAGCCAAAAGCUGCAGUUCUUGCCAGCCGUGUCCUACUCGGGCAAGAUCGCGGCUCACCCACAGCUGCUGUUCCAGAUGCGCGAACAGCUGGGGGAGGCAAAGGACAAGGUGACAGCAUCAUCGACAGAGUGUGUGGGAGCAGGUGGGCCUGGUGUUCAGCGCUCUGCACGCGGCUGCCACGUGGCAGGCGCCAAGCGCAGCAGCAACGGUGGUAGCAACUAUCGGGAUGCCUCUACGACGGCCGGCGGCUUGCGUCGCCCGCAGCAGCGGCGUCAGCGUCAAGAGGCGGAGAAGCAGCUGAUGGCGGGCACGGCCGACAGUACUGUCGGUGAUGACGAGGGCGACACGCGCGUUGGAGAAGAGCAGGAGGCAGUCGUGAUCAUCGACUCCGAUGCAGACUCGACCUCCAGCAUCAGCAGCGGCGACGGCGAUGACGAGGAGCACGCGUUUGCCCGUGCAACGCAGCAGUCGUUCUCCAGCGUCUACCCUGUUGCCUCGCUCACCUACGAGGAGCUAUGCGUGCCGCCCUCGCUGAACUACACCCCGCUCCUGGAGGACGGCGUGAAGCUGCUGGUCGCGAUUAAGCUGGUCGCGGCUGCCAUGGCGCGGGAUGAGAAGGUUCUCCUGUUCAGUCUUUCCACGCAGCUUCUCACGUUCCUAGAGAGCAUGAUCGCGAAGGUGAACAUCGAGUGGCGCCGGCCGGUCGCGGCGUUGCAGCGGCAGCAGCACCCGCAGCUGCCACGGCGGAUCCGCUAUUGCCGCCUGGACGGUAGCCACAGCGCGGCGCAGCGGGCGGCGAUGCUCGAGGACUUUGACCGGCCUGACGGCCCGGAACUCUUCCUGUUGAGCACUAAGGCUGGCGGCGUCGGCAUCACCGUCACGGCUGCCACGCGCGUCAUCCUCGUUGACACGAGCUUCAACCCAGCUGACGACCAGCAGGCGAUUGGCCGCGCGUACCGAUACGGGCAGACCCGUCCCGUAUAUGUGUACCGGCUCACGUGCUACCCGACGCUGGAGUACAGCAUCUUUGUGCAGAAGCUGGCUAAGGAGUGGCUGUUCAAGACGGUGAUCGAGGAGUCUUCGGUCAAGCGCGAUGGGCUGUCCGGCAUGCACCUCCGCGAGCUCUUCUCCCUCCUCACGAAGGCUGCGAAGGUGCUGGAGAAGCCGCUGUCCGCGACGCGCGCGCAGACGCUGUCGACACAGGAGGUGUUGCGCGAGGACCCGAUGCUCGGUGUCGCGCAGGCGGAGUUGCUCUACGCGCAGCGGUACGAGAUGUUUCUUGAGCACGACAUGGACGACCGGUACGGCGCUGCUGAGGAGGCCUUCUACCACGACUACUGCCGCAACCGGUUAUUUGACACGGCCGACGACGAGGACGCCGAGAAGCGGCGUGCGGCGGAGCUGCAGAAACGGCAGCAGCAGCGGAUCGACGAGGCAGCCCAGCUGCAAAUGCAGUCAAAGACGCUCACGGCUAUGGUGGACAACCUCAUCCGGUCAAGGGCCGGGACAGACUCGCAGUUGGCGCGCCUUCUCACCGCGAUGGGUCUGCACGUGCACCCCGUCACCGGCCGCGUACAACUGAGGAGGGGCGGCGCGGAUACGAUGAACCCCAGCGGCAACCGCGAUGACCGGCGCCGCACGGCGGCUCCUUUGCAGCUGGAGGACAGCGGGGAGCGCUUUGCGCCGUCGCCGGUGCAACUUGUCGGCGGUGCAGAUGCCUACCAGGUGAACGAGGGACUGAGCCGCGGCACAGGCGCCUACGUCGCACACAGUACCCCGCAGACGGCAGUGCUGCUACUGGAUUCCGAUGAGGACUCACGCGGCGUCCUCGCCCAGCCGCACGCACGUGAAGAGCACUUUGGCGCCGCCCUCUCAGCGGCAGCGAGCGCCGAGCGUAUAUCCGCCACUCUUGCGCGCCAACCAUACGCGCCCUACCGCCCGGGUAGCUCCCCCGCGUACGCUGUCGACAUCGACAACGACGGAUCGCUUUAGCAACGGGGUGGCAAGGCGGGGGGAAGGGGUGGAAGACGACGGUGGGCACACACCGCAGAAAGCGCUGCUGAUUUUUGUUUCUUACUGCGCACCCUCGUGUGGCAGCUCUGCACACGUGUUAUGAAGCGGAAGAUUGAUCGUAGAGGGGGUGGGGGCGUGUACUUGGAGGAAGGGAGGGGGUGACGGCCCCCCUCCCCAUGCGUUUGCGUGUCCGUCGACGUGUGCUCUGGGCGACCGUACCUCGCCCCCUCUCUUCUCCAUCUCAUCUGCAGUGGCCCCUGCAACCAUAAU